UACAGAGGUCCCGAGCGUUGUUCGGAUUCAUUGGGCGUAAAGGGUGCGUAGGUGGCGCUGUAAGUGGGGUGUGAAAUCCCGGGGCUUAACUCCGGAACUGCAUUCCAUACUGCGGUGCUUGAGGACUGGAGAGGAGACUGGAAUUUACGGUGUAGCAGUGAAAUGCGUAGAGAUCGUAAGGAAGACCAGUGGCGAAGGCGGGUCUCUGGUCCGGUCCUGACGCUGAGGCGCGAAAGCGUGGGGAGCAAACAGG
rnacentral:rRNA from 1 species